UACAGAGGGUGCGAGCGUUGUCCGGAAUCACUGGGGCGUAAAGGGCGCGUAGGGUGGCGCCGCAAGUCGGUGGUGAAAGCUCGAUGCUUAACAUCGAGUCGGCCAUCGAAACUCGGGGCUCGAGCACUGUAGGGGGCAGGAUGGGAAAUUCCGGGGUGUAGCGGGUGGAAAUGCGUAGAGAUCCGGAAGAACACCGGUGGCGAAGGCGGUCUGCUGGGCAGUAGUGGACACUGAGGCGCGACAA
rnacentral:rRNA from 1 species